rnacentral:rRNA from 1 species
UGGGGAAUUUUGGACAAUGGGCGCAAGCCUGAUCCAGCAAUGCCGCGUGCAGGAUGAAGGCCUUCGGGUUGUAAACUGCUUUUGUACGGAGCGAAAAGGUCUGCCCUAAUACGGUGGGCUCAUGACGGUACCGUAAGAAUAAGCACCGGCUAACUACGUGCCAGCAGCCGCGGUAAUACGUAGGGUGCGAGCGUUAAUCGGAAUUACUGGGCGUAAAUCGUGCGCAGGCGGUUAUAUAAGACAGAUGUGAAAUCCCCGGGCUCAACCUGGGACCUGCAGUAGUGACUGUAUAGCUAGAGUACGGUAGAGGGGGAUGGAAUUCCGCGUGUAGCAGUGAAAUGCGUAGAUAUGCGGAGGAACACCGAUGGAGAAGGCAAUCCCCUGGACCUGUACUGACGCUCAUGCACGGAAGCGUGGGGAGCAAGCA